GGGGAAUAUUGCACAAUGGGGGGAACCCUGAUGCAGCGACGCCGCGUGAGUGAAGGAGCAUUUCGGUGCGUAAAGCUCUGUCAGCAGGGAAGAAAGAAGACGGUACCUGACCAAGAAGCCCCGGCUAACUACGUGCCAGCAGCCGCGGUAAUACGUAGGGGGCAAGCGUUAUCCGGAUUUACUGGGUGUAAAGGGAGCGCAGACGGCAAGGCAAGCCUGGAGUGAAAGGCGGGGGCCCAACCCCCGGACUGCUCUGGGAACUGCCUGGCUGGAGUGCAGGAGGGGUAAGCGGAAUUCCUGGUGUAGCGGUGAAAUGCGUAGAUAUCAGGAGGAACACCGGUGGCGAAGGCGGCUUACUGGACUGCAACUGACGUUGAGGCUCGAAAGCGUGGGGAGCAAACAGG
rnacentral:rRNA from 1 species